UCCAUGUAGCGUCUAUAAUCGUCCCGACGCCCAAGUGUGUGUCCAUUUUUAGACACGCUGAAAUCCCAACUUGAGCGCGUUCGUUCCUUCAACAAAUCUGAUCUUCAGUUGGAAAACUUCUGCGAUGCAACAAACUUCUUCGGAAAUUGGACGUGAUCGAGAAAAAGACAGACGUAAUUUGGAACGAUUUCGAGUUACCCUCACUCGAGAAUAGAUGAAUUCUGACACUUCGGGAGAAUUCGGGAAUUGCAGCGCCUUGACUCAGACUCGCAAAUUAUCAGUUUUAUCCCGAAAUGCGACUAUUUUAGUUUUAGUUUUUGUUUUUGGCAUUGGCACCAUUUUUUGAAUAUCACGUAUCAAUUUGGUUUUGGUCAAAUGCAAGGAUAGAUGGCGACAUAGAGCUAGCUGUAGGCAACACAUUCAGCACCUAAUUAAAUAAAGCGACGAUAGAAAAGAGAAAAACAGGAGCAUAUUUUACAAAAUAUGUGACAUUCAAAGCCACUUUUUGCCUUUUAACUCCGACAUUAAUUAGGAAAAUGACUAUUUGCGAUGUUCGUUUUGCGAAGUUUAAUAAUUGAUAAUAAAGUUUUCAUUUUAGACUAAUUGAGCAUAAAAAAAUAAUUAUUUUGUUGCAAGGACCACUUGAAGAAAUAAAUAUCAGUUCCUUUGCCGGUUUAUGCUCUCAAUACUGAAACGAGUAAUUUGCAUGUCUGAUUAUUUGCAAAAUACAUUGAUAACAAACAUUUUCUUGUAGUUAUUUGCGGCAUUUUAAGCCAGACGUUAACAGAACUGAUCCGAGGCCCAAAAUUGACCGUUUUUUUUAUUUAUUAUUAUAGAUAUAAAUCUUAAUGAAUAUCUAGCAAAGAUAUGUAUUCAUCAGUGGUGUAUUUUAAGAAGCUGAGUGUUAAAAAUAGUGCCCCAGAUAACUUAUUUUUAUCGAACUGAACUUCGUGUAUCCACGCAAAGAUUGAGUUUAUUCCCAUUGCAGAUGAAAUUAUUGUUAUCAUAUUAAUGAGGAGUAGUCUGUACAAUCAUUCUUAUUGAUGGUGCAAAAAUAGCAAAGUAGUCUUUAUGA